UACGGAGGGUGCAAGCGCUAAUCGGAAUUACUGGGCGUAAAGCGCGCGUAGGCGGUUUUUUAAGUCGGAUGUGAAAGCCCCGGGCUCAACCUGGGAACUGCAUCCGAUACUGGAAGACUAGAAUGCGGGAGAGGGAGGUAGAAUUCCAUGUGUAGCAGUGAAAUGCGUAGAUAUAUGGAGGAAUACCAGUGGCGAAGGCGGCCUCCUGGCUCGACAUUGACGCUGAGGUGCGAAAGCGUGGGGAGCAAACGGG
rnacentral:rRNA from 1 species